UUGCUGAGCCCCCAAUCUUUGUUACUAUUAGUAUAGCCUGGACAUUCUAUUUCAUCAAUCAUCACACAAAUCUUCAUGUGUCAAACCUUAGAAGGUUUCUACACCAUCUGAAAGCCAAAUUCAUAGCUAUCCAAUAUGCUAUUCUGUAUUAUCUACUAACAUCAUAACUCAUUUUCUUCCAUUUGCUUAACAGUCAUCACCCUGCUUGUAGGGGUGUAUGCAAGCUGAGCCGAGUUUUAAACAGCUUAGACUGACAAGCUUGGCUCAUUAAAUUUUGAGCUCAACUCAAGUUCAGAUUUGAAACUAGAGCUUAGCUCAUUUAGAUAUUUAGAUUUAAUUAGACUCGAGCUUGGCUUGCAUUUAACUUGUUUAUCAAACUUGUGUUAGCUAUUUUAGAUAUAAUUAGGCUCAAGUUUAGCUCAAGUUCAGCUUACAUUAACUUGUUUAUUAAGCUUGUGAGCCUGAGCUAGAGCUUGAACUUGGACACAUCAAGCUAAUUAGCUAAAUUACUUAAAAAAAUUGCAAGUUUUACUAAUCAUUAUCUAAAACACAUUUAAUGAUAGAUUCAAUAAAUCAUAAUAAUUAAAUUA
rnacentral:misc_RNA from 1 species